AAAGAAUCUUCCACAAUGGGCGAAAGCCUGAUGGAGCGACACCGCGUGGUCGAUGAAGGUCGUAAGAUCGUAAAGACCUUUUCUGAGGGAAGAAUUAUGACGGUACCUCAGGAAUAAGCACCGGCUAACUCCGUGCCAGCAGCCGCGGUAAUACGGAGGGUGCAAGCGUUACCCGGAAUCAUUGGGCGUAAAGCGUCCGCAGGCGGUUUAUUAAGUUAAAUAUUAAACCUUGAAGCCCAACUUCAAGUGUGUAUUUAAAACUGAUAGACUAGAGUUUUUUAGGGGCAUGUAGAAUUCUGUGUGUAGGGGUAAAAUCCGUAGAUAUACAGAGGAAUACCAAAAGCGAAGGCAGCAUGCUGGAAAAAUACUGACGCUCAUGGACGAAAGCGUGGGGAGCAAAC
rnacentral:rRNA from 1 species